rnacentral:lncRNA from 1 species
GAGAAAGUGUCCUCUGAUUUCAUCAUACUGAGGUCUCCUCUGCAAAUGAUGGGACUUUAGUGAAGAUUACUAUUAAUCUGCAUAGUGUAUGCAUGUAAAUUGCUGAUGUGCUGCACAGACAUGUUACCAAAAACAGCUGGAUUUCCAAAACUUCAGUAGUUUACUUUACUCAGGGAGGUCCUGGUGCAAGCAAGAGUCCUUGCUAUGCACACUUCAGUUUGGUAUCACUGCUCCAAAGUACUACAGUGGCUUCCAGCUUAUGAUCAACUGUAGGUCUCCUGUGGAGAAUGUUUGUGUUUUGUUGAUGCUACUUGGUAUUUUCUGCCUCUCAGCAUUGUCAGGAGGACAUGCUAACAAAUGGGUGAACUGGUAUUCAUUUUAUCUUCCCUGCUCUCAAAGGACCUCUGAGUGGAUAAGGAGCCUCAUUCCGGAUCGUGAACAAGGAUGGGCUGAAAAGGGAAGGCUCCAUCUCAGAGGAGUGUCCUGGCGAUCUACCUGGAUAGGAACUGGAUUCUGCAGUCCUGAGUCACGGUCAUGA